CAGAAUCUGUUAAGCAUAAAUACAUAACGAACAAUGAAAACCAACUCAAACCGCAGAAUGGCAACUUUGAAAGUGAGUUUGAGCGGCACUGCUGCUCCUACUUCUUCACCAUCACCAUCUCUGAAAUCUUGGCCACACAUCUCAGAUUCUCCCCCCAAGAUUUCAGUGGUAGCCAGAUUUCCAAACGCCACCGUAUUAACUCCUCCCAAGCUCCGUCUUCAGGCUUCUCUGGGGAAGAAAACCAGAGCUUCAGUCUCUGCAGCUAUGGAAACCGGUGGGCAAGAAGUUCUUCCACCAGCUCUUACUUCUACGUCGGACCCACCUCCAAUCUUCAAUGGAAAUACAAGGCUGUAUAUAGACCAAGCCCCUUAAUCGUCGAUGAUUGUUAUGAAGAGGGUUGGAGGAAAAGAUACAAUUGGUUUCUAUUGAUCUGCAAGACAGGCCUGCUUGGUACAAGGAGAAAGUCUACCUUGCUAACAAGGUGAGCUUUUGUGACUAGAGCAUAUGCUACAAGGCUGGUUUCAUUUAUCUUGUGCUGCAUUAGAACGAAAUGCUCUCGUAUCAUAAGGCAUCUAAAAUACCGCCCUGUGGUGGAGUAAUUAGAUGAAGAAGAGAAGACAAUGGCAUAUUUCCAGGCCAUUAUGUCUGCACAAAGUUUCUUUGUGAUCCGUAUGCUUAAUUAACCGUUUUAUUUUCUCUACGAGGUGUGUCUGGUAUGAAAUUUGAACGCCGGUGCCAUCACUCGAACACAAUAACGAAGUGAGAGGAUACAUUGGCAGUCACUUUGAAGGGCCUUCACUGUUCCCUGAUGAUCCCGCGAAGAAAGAGUUUGGGGAAGAGUUGCUGUCCUACACAGACUCCUUCAAUAGAUCUGUGUUUUCGUCAGUAAAACAAGAUGAAAUCGAGUCAGCUGGUGAAACGAUCACUUGCUCCUUUCAAUGUUACUAUUUAAGUUGCAAUUAAGCUAAUGUAACCAUAGUCGCGAGUGUAAGCAGAUUGGACAUUUGACUAUAUCGAAACUGCUCUUUCCAAAUUGGAAGACGGACCUCUCUUUCUCGGCAAGUUUAGUCUGGUGGAUAUAGCGCUUACGCUCCCUCCCUCGGAAGGUUUCAGCUUUACUUGAUGGACUUGAAGAAGUAUGACAUCGCUGCAGGGAGACCUAAACUGGCAGCAUGGAUUGAGGUACAAAACGAUUGGAUUCCGAAUUUGAUAGAAAAGGUUACUCAUGUGAAUACAUAUCACUUGUUUGUAGGAGAUGAACAAAAAAUGUAGCUUACAAACAAACCCGAUGUGACCCCAAAGAGCUUGUCGAACUUUAUAGGAGACGCUUUUCGGUAAUAAUCUUCUUGCAGCAUGUUAGCAAGUCAAUUAUCGUUGUUGCCAAAUGCUAAUCUCUUAUGCCUCGUUUACUAAUCCGUAUUCAGAUUGAGAGGAGAAUUGAAUUAACGAGGGAUUGAAUUGAGGAGAAAUUGGUUUACUAAUUCUUCUUUCUUCUUCUUGUUCUAAAUAACUAAUUAAUUAUUUCUCUCUUAUGUCUGCUGCUGCACUGGGUUUUGAUGUGAAACCGGAAGGCGCUGGGUGUUUUGAACGGCACCGUAUGGAAGAGAGGAGAUACGGGUAUUUUGGGUAGAAAAAACUGAUUUCGGAUGAAGGUUUUCUCCCGGAAUUGAAAUACCACUUAUCUGAUUCCGGGAAAAUCAGGAAUCUGAUUCCUUAUUUUAGGUGGGUCGCACGUAUAAUUGCAUUCCCCAAUGUUGGUAAACGCUUGAAGCACUUGGAAUAAGUGCAAUUCUCAUUCCUCUCACUCCAUUCCCCUUACGUAGAGAUUGUUGGAUAAUGGCCAAAUUAGUGGUCAAGUGGACAACAAGCCAAAUCACAUUUCGGCUAUUAAACAAACCAAAAGAAUGAAGGACAUAAUGAUGUGGGAACAUCAUUAGGAGGUUUUCCUUUAUGAUGUGGCCACAUGAGUGGCAAUUAUGAUGUUUGUUCUUUUUGUUUAUAUUAAGGCAUUUGGUUAUGCCUUUGGUUUUGGGGGUUGGGAACGGCAGAUUAGACAGAAGAAGAGGUGGGUUGCUGUUUUCUAUCCUCCAUUUGUGCCAUCAUUCAUUAUAAGAUAUUGUGCUACAUUUUUUGGCUUUUGGGAGAGAAGAAUUUGAUAUGUGUUUCUUCUUCUCCAUUUGUUCUUUGUAUGAGCAAGAGCUAUUGGGUGUAUAUGGGAUAUUGGGUUUGAGAGUUCAACUCUAUUUGUAAUUUCCAUUUUGAUAUUAGUGGAAUUUCCUCGCCAUCUCUGAA